UGACGCUGGCGGAUGCUUUACACACUGCCAGUCGAACGGCAGCACGGACUUCGGUCUGGUGGCGAGUGGCGAACGGGUGAGUAAUACAUCGGAACGUGCCCAGUCGUGGGGGAUAACGUAGCGAAAGCUACGCUAAUACCGCAUACGAUCUACGGAUGAAAGCGGGGGAUCGCAAGACCUCGCGCGAUUGGAGCGGCCGAUGCGCAGAUUAAGUAGUUGGUGGGGUAAAGGCUCACCAAGCCGACGAUCUGUAGCUGGUCUGAGAGUGACGACCAGCCACACUGGGACUGAGACACGCGCCCAGACUCCUACGGGAGGCAGCAGUGGGGAAUUUUUGGACAAUGGGCGCAAGCCUGAUCCAGCCAUUCCGCGUGCAGGAUGAAGGCCCUCGGGUUGUAAACUGCUUUUGUACAGAACGAAAAGGCUCUGGUUAAUACCUGGGGCUCAUGACGGUACUGUAAGAAUAAGCACCGGCUAACUACGUGCCAGCAGCCGCGGUAAUACGUAGGUGCAAGCGUUAAUCGGAAUUACUGGGCGUAAAGCGUGCGCAGGCGGUGAUGUAACGACAGAGGUGAAAUCCCCGGGCUCAACCUGGGAACUGGCUUUGUGACUGCAUCGCUGAGUACGGCAGAGGGGGAUGGAAAUUCCCGGCGUGUUAGCCACUUGAAAAUGGCGUUAGAAUAUUUGCGGGACAGGAACACCCGAUUUGCGAAAAGGCCAAUCCCCCCUGUGGCCUGGUAACUGAACGCCUCAUGGCACCGAAAAGCCGUUGGCGGAAGCACAAACCGGAUUAGAUAACCUUGGUUAGUCACACGCCCCUAUACAGAUGUCACGGGUUGUUGGGGGCCUCACAUCGAACCAGACAGAAAUAAGCCCUGUAAA
rnacentral:rRNA from 1 species